GGGCAGCUUACCAUGCAGUCGAGCGCCCCGCAAGGGGAGCGGCAGACGGGUGAGUAACGCGUGGGAACGUACCAUUUGCUACGGAAUAACUCAGGGAAACUUGUGCUAAUACCGUAUGAGCCCGAAAGGGGAAAGAUUUAUCGGCUAAUGUUCGGCCCGCGUUGGAUUAGCUAGUUGGUGGGGUAAAGGCCUACCAAGGCGACGAUCCAUAGCUGGUCUGAGAGGAUGAUCAGCCACCCUGGGACUGAGACACGGCCCAGACUCCUACGGGGGGCAGCAGUGGGGAAUAUUGGACAAUGGGCGCAAGCCUGAUCCAGCCAUGCCGCGUGAGUGAUGAAGGCCCUAGGGUUGUAAAGCUCUUUCACCGGUGAAGAUAAUGACGGUAACCGGAGAAGAAGCCCCGGCUAACUUCGUGCCAGCAGCCGCGGUAAUACCAAGGGGGCUAGUGUUGUUCGGAUUUACUGGGCGUAAAGCGCACGAAGGCGCGCUAAUAAGUCAGGGGUGAAAUCCCCGGGCUCAACCCCGGAACUGCCUUUGAUACUGUGAGUCUUGAGUAUGUUAGAGGUGAGUGUAAUUCCGAGUGUAUAGGUGAGAUUCGUAUAUAUUCGGAGGAACACCAGUGGCGAAAGCGGCUCACUGGACCAUUACUGACGCUGAUGUGCGAAAGCGUGUGUAGCA
rnacentral:rRNA from 2 species